CUCCAGCCUGGCGACAGAACGAGACUCCGUCUCAAAAAAAAAAAAAAAAAAAAAAAAAAAAAAAAAAAAAGAAAAGAAAAAAGCAUAUCUGCCAGCCAAGAAUCAGUUUUCAGCUUAAAACACAAUAAUACAGACCAAAUUUAGCUCCUGUUCCCUGAACCAGUGGCAAAAGCAGCUAGUGCACGUGCCCAGGAAGCCACAUGCAGCAUGUUUAUCCCACUAUCCAGCUCUGUGGUGCUUUACUGGUUCUACACGUUAGGAUUACAGAUCCUUGUAGGAAUAGCUUCUGCGCUUUAAUGAUUUCUUAAGAAAAAAUAAAACAAGAUCUAGAUCAUAGACUCCCAUCAGAGAGCUUACUGGGAGAAAGAGCUGUAUCGUGAAUUAUGAAGAUUAAAGGGGCAUCCAACAAGGGGAAAAAUUAAACUAUUAUCUCGUUACUUUGGUAAAUUAAAAUUGCCAGGCCUAGGCAAAGAUCUGACUGGCCAGAGUGAAUUUUGGAGUGAAAUUUUAUGGUUAUGUCUUUUAAAAGCCAUGUAAAUCAGCAAGCGUAAAGCUGACAGGACCUUGCAGGCUUCAGCAAGAACACACUGUCCCUCUCAUUUAUUUAAAAGAAUGCUGCCCCUGCUCAAAGGCCUGCAGUGAGCCAUGCCAAUGUGGUUUGGCUGGACUGUGAGUGCUUGAUGCAGUCUGAUAGGAGGAUGGGGGUGGCGCAGAGAACAUUGAAAUCAGAAAGGAUUCUGCUCUGUAGAGACAAAGGAAACACAGAGACAUAGACAUGGAUCUGGGAAAUACACCUUUUGCUACUCGUUCAGUUUUAGCAAGGAGGUUUCUUGCAUGGCUAAGCAAAACUUAAACUUCCUCUGAGAAUUACAGGAAUUACAGGACCUGACAAAGCUAUGAAGAUUAAAACCUAUAGGAAGAAAAUCUGAACCAGAAACAGUAUGGCAGAAUUGGGAUCUGACUCACAGAGGGAAGAACUUAUAAUUCUUCACAGGUCACAUAGAAGCAUGAGAAUUUGGGUUCAAGCAAACGCCUAAAUACCUGACGUGUGACAGCAAAUGCCUGUUCCCAUGGAGCUGCUGCUUCUGAGAAAGCUUGAAACAGACAAAGAAUAAGGUAGAAAUGACCUCCUCACUAGAGAUGAAAAGAAGCUGUCCUGGUGAGGAAAUUGGAUCCCAGCUUUUGCCGCUAAGAUUCUUCUCUUCUGCCUCUGGUUUUCUUUAUUGUUCACCCCCAGAAGCAAUCGCUCUCUCACAAGGCAACACACGCAAUAGAGUGAACAGUGAUUCUACAGUCUGAUUCUGGAAAAGGCGACCACAGUGGAAAGAGUGAUCCACACAAGUAUAGGGCCUCCUGAUUAAAACACUAAGAUUUCAUCUCACGCUGUGCCUUUAUACUGUUGAGAUACUAAAGAGGACACUAAAGAUCAAAGUGCUACUUUACAACAUUUUGAAGAAAACAACUGCUACCUGUGUAUUAGUUUGUGCAGAUGUGUUACACAGCUUAGCUGUGUCUGUACCAGUUUAUUAGAAUCAAAGUAUUUUUAAAGUACCUAAGGCCAGGCACAGUGGCUCACACCUGUAAUCCCAGCACUUUGGGAGGCUGAGGCAAGUGGAUCACUUGAGAUCAGGAAUUCAAGACCAGCCUGGCCAACAUGGUGAAACCCCAUCUCUACUAAAAAUACAAAAAUUAGCCAGGCAUGGUGUCACAUGCCUGUAAUCCCAGUGACUCAAGAGGCUGAGGUAUGAGAAUCAAUCGUUUGAACUCAGAAGGAGAGGUUGCAGUGAGUGGAGAUAGCAACACUGUACUCCAGCCUGGGUGACAGAGUGAGAUCCAGUCUCAAAAAAAAAAAAAAAAAAAAAAAAAGUACCUAAAACUUGUGAUAUGGUUUGGCCUUGUCCCCACCCAAAUCUCAUAUUGAAUUGAAUUAUGGGGAGAGGUCUUUCCUGCGCUGUUCUUAUGAUAGUGAAUGAGUUUCAUGAGAUCUGAUGGUUUUAAAAAUGGGAGUUUCCCUGCACAAGCUCUCUUUUGUUGCCUGCUGCCAUCCACGUAAGAUGUGACUUGCUCCUCUUUACCUUCCACCAUGAUUUUGAGGCCUCCCCAGUCCUGUGGAACUGUAAGUUCAAUAAACCUCUUUCUUUUGUAAAUUGUCCAGUCUCGGGUAUGUCUUUAUCAGCAGCAUGAAAACAGAGUAAUACAGCAUGUGAGAUACAAUGCUGAGCACUGAAGAAACAAGGAUGGCACAGCCCCUGACUUCCAGAAGCUCACACUUUAGAAAAGCAAGUGUAUUAAUAACUACUUAUGUAUAACAUUUGUGUUAUUUAGAAAAUGCAAUAAGGGCACAGAUGAAGAGCAAAGUACAGUGGUAAAGAAGAGAGAGUUUGUGAGAAAGGUACAGGAGAAAAGACAUUUAUGCUGGGCUUCAAAGGAUGAGCUGACAUUUCAAUUCCCAUCCUUAGACAAAGCUAGGAAAGGCAUUUCAGCAGAAGCAAACUGAAUAAAGCCCUCGAGACCUGGAAGUGCAUGUCAUGCCCAAGAACCAUGUAAACCUGAAAGCUUUGAGAGCUAGAUAAUAUUUCACCAACUGUGGUCAUCAGAAUCACCAAUAUUUGGGGUGUUUGUUUAAUUUUUUAGCUUCCUAAACCCUAGCACAAGCCCAAUGAAGGUGGGAAGAGGAAUCUGUAUUUUAGAAGCAACCCUUUCCCCUCCAAAUUCUUCAUAGAGUGAUUGUGAUGAAUAAAGGUUGAGGACCAUCUGGUUUAGGCUGUUCUAGGCAGGGUGGAGAUGUAGGGAAGGACACACAAUAACCCUGUUACUCGGUUGUGCUGUGGUUAUGUGCCUAUACACUAUCAGACAGACUGGUCAAUUUUGUUCCAAAUAUGUUCAGUGUUAAACAGAACCCAGUAUUGUAAACUGUAAUUACAAAUUAUAAAACUUCUGUAAACAGAAGCCUACUUCUCAUACACUGAAAGAACCAAAAGGCAAGAUGCAACUGAGACCGUUUAAAAAUGGUGAAAUGUUUUCCAGACUCCAGCUACAAGGAGAAUCCUCUUUGUAAUGCUGAGUAUCAUGAUUAAAAUCUCCCACUGCUCAGCAGCACAAAACUGUCUCAAGGAGUCUCCAAAGAGAGUCAUCUCAGAGUAUCUCACAGCAGUCCUUCCAUCCUCAAGCUUGGUUGUAUCUCUACACAGGCCUACAUGAAAGCAGAGACACUGCAAACAAGACAGGGCAGAGAGCAAGCCGGGAAGUUGGUGAACUUGGAAUUUGAUGAGCUCCUUGUCUGAAACAUGAAGCUCAGACCAGAAGAACUGGAUGCUCUAGAGAGAGAUGGACCUCUCCUCAAUGGGAAUAUCAACAUCAGUACAAAUUGAUGAUUCCAGUUAAGAAACAGACAACAGUAGUCAGAGCAGCACAUAAAGCCAGAAGGAGGCAAAAUAUUGGUAGCCACUCAGAGCUAUGCGCUUUCCCAACCUGUCCUCAGAGUGAACUGUUGCUAAUUUCAGAGCCAAGUAGUAGUCCUACUACCAACCAUCCCAAUAAUUUCACAUACCAACAUCCACAAUUAAGUUACUGGUUUAUAAACCAUAAACCACAAUUUAUCUAGGGUGUUGACUUAAUGUUUUUCAGCAAAGUUUUUUCCCUAUCUAAGGUAACAUUUCUCAUAUAAUGGUCAAGGGACCCCUACCUUGAGAUUGUUAAAAUGAAGAGACUUGGGUACCUUUCACAACUCUCUGAGGUUAGGGCCCAGGAAUCUGCAUUUUCACACACUCCCUCAGAGCAUUCUCUCUCACAAGGACUUUCCCUUCAGGGAACUCCUGUUACACUCAGUACUGAAUAGUGUAAGAGUAUUUUUGUUUUCCAUUAGAAUUUUGCUAGUGGAACUUUGAUUGGCAAUAGGAAGUGGCUGGAAUAACAUAGGGAUUUUGGUCUGCAUUGCUAUCUAACUGCCUGGGUUCCCUGUGACAUGUCUCUCAGGUGUCAGGUAUCUCUAGCUCUCAGGUAUCUCUAGCUCAGCAACUUUCCCACCCUCAUCAACCUUCCCAUCCUCAAUCCACCCAACCCCACUCUCCCACAUUAAAAUCAAAGAACUUCUACUGUAAAGUCCCUGGUUAAACAAUCAUCUUCAGGUACUGUCAAAGUAAGAUAACUAAACCAGGCUCCCUCGUUGGUACCAAUCAGAUUGGGUAGGAACUGGUAUGGACAUCAAACAGAAUUGGCACAUAACCAGGUACAGUUGCAUGCAGGCCAGCAUGAAAGUAUCAGAAUAUUUGGUUAAUUGAAUUAAAAGAACCAUUGAGUUAUUCUGACAUUGUGAAAACAUAGUCAAAAUUCAGCUCUUUACAAUGCUUUUGCAUCAUUGGAGUUGAGUGCAUCAGGGAGACUGAUAAAUCAUACAUGGCUCAUAAAGACUAAGAGCAAAUCAUAAAAUAAUAGAGCUGGAAGGGAACUGAAAGAUGACCCGGUCUGGGUUUUAUUUUGCAAAUGAAACAACCAGAGCCUGCAGAGGCCUAGUGACCAAGGUCAUACAGCUCGUUAGUGGCUGAGAAUCACAAUGUCCUAACUUCUGGCUGAGGGUUUUUUUCUAUGAUGCCUCCCCUGAGACUAAAAUAAAUCCC
rnacentral:lncRNA from 10 species